rnacentral:rRNA from 1 species
CCUACGGGAGGCAGCAGUGGGGAAUCUUGCGCAAUGGACGAAAGUCUGACGCAGCCAUGCCGCGUGAAUGAUGAAGGUCUUAGGAUUGUAAAGUUCUUUAGCCUGUGACGAUGAUGACGGUAACAGGAGAAUAAGCCCCGGCUAACUUCGUGCCAGCAGCCGCGGUAAUACGAAGGGGGCUAGCGUUGUUCGGAAUUACUGGGCGUAAAGCGCGCGUAGGCGGUUUUACAAGCCAGAGGUGAAAUGCCUGAGCUCAACUUAGGAAUUGCCUUUGGAACUGUAUGGCUUUGAGGACGAGAGAGGUGAGUGGAAUUCCCAGUGUAGAGGUGAAAUUCGUAGAUAUUGGGAAGAACACCGGUGGCGAAGGCGGCUCACUGGCUCGUUACUGACGCUGUAGCGCGAAAGCGUGGGGAUCAAACAGGAUUAGAUACCCUGGUAGUCCACGCUGUAAACGAUGAGUGCUAGGCGUAGGCACGCUUGCGUGUCUGUGCCGCNGCUACGCGUGAGCACNCCGCCGUGGGAGGUACGGUCGCGAGAUAAACUACAANAGAGUUAGACGGCGUGAGACGUAGCCGACGGACGACGACGAGGGAGGUUAGGG